AUACGGAGGAUCCGAGCGUUAUCCGGAUUUAUUGGGUUUAAAGGGUGCGCAGGCGGCCAUUUAAGUCAGCGGUUAAAUCGUGGGGCUCAACCCCAUUCUGCCGUUGAUACUGGGUGGCUUGAUUGCGGUCGAGGUUGGCGGAAUUCGUUGUGUAGCGGUGAAAUGCAUAGAUAUGACGAAGAACACAGAUUGCGUAGGCAGCUGACCAGACCGCAAAUGACGCUCAUGCACGAAAGUGCGGGGAUCGAACAGGAUUAGAUACCCUGGUAGUCCGCACAGUAAACGAUGAAUACUUGUUUUCGGCGAUAUAAUGUCGGAGGCAAAGCGAAAGCGAUAAGUAUUCCACCUGGGGAGUACGCCGGCAACGGUGAAACUCAAAUGAAUUGACGGGG
rnacentral:rRNA from 1 species